AACCCUCUAUUCGAGAGGAG
rnacentral:snRNA from 1 species